rnacentral:other from 1 species
CCCUCCGAUGUGCGAGGCGAAUUCUAUAUGUUUUGAGCCAACACUCUCUAUAAGGGAGCCCGUGAACUCCAGCCAUUGAUGAUAUGCCCUUGCGAGGGGACAUCAGAAGUGACAGGGAGGGCACCCACCUGCUCAGGCAGGUUCAAAACGCGGAAUCGUACGGCAUUGUAGGGCU